AGCGCUGUGGCGCAGUGGGUUAACGCACUGGCCUGAAGCGCCAGCAUCACAUAUGGAUGCUGGUUCAAGACCCGGCUGCUCUA
rfam:Oryctolagus cuniculus chromosome 3, whole genome shotgun sequence.